ACUCCUGCGGGAGGCAGCAGUGGGGAAUUUUGGACAAUGGGCGAAAGCCUGAUCCAGCCAUGCCGCGUGCAGGAUGAAGGCCUUCGGGUUGUAAACUGCUUUUGUACGGAACGAAACGGCCUUUUCUAAUAAAGAGGGCUAAUGACGGUACCGUAAGAAUAAGCACCGGCUAACUACGUGCCAGCAGCCGCGGUAAUACGUAGGGUGCAAGCGUUAAUCGGAAUUACUGGGCGUAAAGCGUGCGCAGGCGGUUAUGUAAGACAGUUGUGAAAUCCCCGGGCUCAACCUGGGAACUGCAUCUGUGACUGCAUAGCUAGAGUACGGUAGAGGGGGAUGGAAUUCCGCGUGUAGCAGUGAAAUGCGUAGAUAUGCGGAGGAACACCGAUGGCGAAGGCAAUCCCCUGGACCUGUACUGACGCUCAUGCACGAAAGCGUGGGGAGCAAACAGGAUUAGAAACCCCUGUAGUCCC
rnacentral:rRNA from 1 species